UUAUUGAAAGGUGCUUGCAUCUUGAUUUAAUUUUGAACGAGUGGCGGACGGGUGAGUAACACGUGGGUAACCUGCCCUUAAGUGGGGGACAACAUUUGGAAACAGAUGCUAAUACCGCAUAAAUCCAAAAACCGCAUGGUUCUUGGCUGAAAGAUGGCGUAAGCUAUCGCUUUUGGAUGGACCCGCGGCGUAUUAGCUAGUUGGUGAGGUAACGGCUCACCAAGGCAAUGAUACGUAGCCGAACUGAGAGGUUGAUCGGCCACAUUGGGACUGAGACACGGCCCAAACUCCUACGGGAGGCAGCAGUAGGGAAUCUUCCACAAUGGACGCAAGUCUGAUGGAGCAACGCCGCGUGAGUGAAGAAGGCUUUCGGGUCGUAAAACUCUGUUGUUGGAGAAGAAUGGUCGGCAGAGUAACUGUUGUCGGCGUGACGGUAUCCAACCAGAAAGCCGCGGCUAACUACGUGCCAGCAGCCGCGGUAAUACGUAGGUGGCAAGCGUUAUCCGGAUUUAUUGGGCGUAAAGCGAGCGCAGGCGGUUUUUUAAGUCUGAUGUGAAAGCCCUCGGCUUAACCGAGGAAGUGCAUCGGAAACUGGGAAACUUGAGUGCAGAAGAGGACAGUGGAACUCCAUGUGUAGCGGUGAAAUGCGUAGAUAUAUGGAAGAACACCAGUGGCGAAGGCGGCUGUCUGGUCU
rnacentral:rRNA from 1 species